rnacentral:rRNA from 1 species
AACGAACGCUGGCGGCAGGCCUAACACAUGCAAGUCGAACGCUCCGCAAGGGGAGUGGCGCACGGGUGAGUAACACGUGGGAACCUACCUUCUGGUACGGAACAACCAAGGGAAACUUUGGCUAAGACCGUAUACGACCUCCGGGUGAAAGAUUGAUCGCCGGAAGAGGGGCCCGCGUCCGAUUAGGUAGUUGGUGAGGUAACGGCUCACCAAGCCUUCGAUCGGUAGCUGGUCUGAGAGGAUGACCAGCCACACUGGGACUGAGACACGGCCCAGACUCCUACGGGAGGCAGCAGUGGGGAAUAUUGGACAAUGGGCGCAAGCCUGAUCCAGCCAUGCCGCGUGAGUGAUGAAGGCCUUCGGUUGUUAA